ensembl:lncRNA
ACUUUUUCUGCUCGUGUAGACGUCACGGUGGCUCGGGCUGUGUCCUUCAGUCUUAAAAGAGUGUGAGGACAUUUUGAACGAACCGGACCCUCUCCACGAGCUCAUCCAGCAACAGAAACACAACUGUCACUUCGUCGAAGACUUUUUCUCCGGCGUCUCCGGUUCCACGGACGAACAAAGUGAAACUAAAACCACACAGCUCCAAAGCUCGGACGCACGGGGGGACGAAGCUCAGACGGAGGAGGGAGUCCCGUCUGUGGAAGUCACUCUGUCGUUUGACGAUGACGACGAUGAAGACGAGUAUACGAUGGACUAUAACCACGAGUAUCAGCGACCGUCUGUCUGCGCGAAGUCCUCCAGAUGCCCUGCCUGUGGUCUGACGUUUGAUAAUCCUUCUUUACUCAGCAAACACAGCGUCUCAGGAGAUUGUAUCGAAGAAAACGCGGUUUUUCAGGUCGAUUUGGAUUCGGACGCUUUGAGAUCAGAGCACGAGCCCCUGACCGUAGACGCUGAUGUCGUUCCAAAGCGCCGCGGUUACACUGACCACAUAGUUUGCCUGUUGUGUGGUCAGAUCUACACGUUAAAGACUUUACUGGAACAUCAGAAGGUCUGCGUGGUGAGAUACGAGCGGGAGAAACGGGCUGCGGCUGCGAUG